CAGGCAUGCUGGGGUUCCGCCAGCGGCGCCUGGCGGCGGCCCGCUUUCGCGGCCGCCCCGACACCGGACGGAACAAGG
rfam:Rhizobiales bacterium 63-22 SCNpilot_cont_500_bf_scaffold_17, whole genome shotgun sequence.